rnacentral:rRNA from 1 species
GAUGAACGCUGGCGGCGUGCCUAAUACAUGCAAGUCGAGCGAACAGACGAGGAGCUUGCUCCUCUGACGUUAGCGGCGGACGGGUGAGUAACACGUGGAUAACCUACCUAUAAGACUGGGAUAACUUCGGGAAACCGGAGCUAAUACCGGAUAAUAUAUUGAACCGCAUGGUUCAAUAGUGAAAGACGGUUUUGCUGUCACUUAUAGAUGGAUCCGCGCCGCAUUAGCUAGUUGGUAAGGUAACGGCUUACCAAGGCGACGACGCGUAGCCGACCUGAGAGGGUGAUCGGCCACACUGGAACUGAGACACGGUCCAGACUCCUACGGGAGGCAGCAGUAGGGAAUCUUCCGCAAUGGGCGAAAGCCUGACGGAGCAACGCCGCGUGAGUGAUGAAGGUCUUCGGAUCGUAAAACUCUGUGAUUAGGGAAGAACAAAUGUGUAAGUAACUAUGCACGUCUUGACGGUACCUAAUCAGAAAGCCACGGCUAACUACGUG